UUAAUUUCCUUUUAUGUAUGGCUUGCAUAUUGACAUUGAAUACAUUUAUUAACUAUCAGUAUUUUUAUAGUAUUUUAUGUUAAUUGAAAGUAAAUAUUUUAAGUACAUUAACUUAAAAACUUAAAAAAAAAAAAAUUCAUCAACUUCAAAAAUAUGGAAUAUACAUUUAUAUAUUAAUUGAACAUUUCAUUUUCUUACUGAGUGAAAGAAAAUCUAUGUCUGCACUGCCCAAGAUAAAGUGAGUAGAAGUGAAUGUACCCAUCUGCAUGUGACUUCUUACAGUAUAUUAGUGCAGUAUACGCACUGCUUACAGAAGAUAAUGAUCUGUAUUGUAACAAAUGUUCAUUAACUGUUGAUAUCCAAUUAAUAAAAUAAAAAUGAUAUCUGUCUGUAUUUAUAUGGCGUUCGUGAGAAAUAGCCUACAUAAAUGUCAGUGACUUGAACUUUCAAGUCCUUGCUGUUUGUUUGUGAAAGAGGAAGAGAUUUGCCACAUAUAACACCUGCCAAAAGUGCACUCUCAGGUAGUCCGUCUGUUCAAGUCACAAAAGGAGCGAUGGAACCUAUUAGAAUGGCUAUUUUAAUGCUAAUACUCCAAAAACAAGUUGAAUUUAUAAUAAGCGCCAAACCCACACUUGUGGUCUUGAAGGAAGGUGACAAUGUGGACUUCACCUGUAGAUAUUCUGCUGUGGCUCAGAACAACUCCAAGUUCUUUUGCCAGGCCAAGCCGGUGUGCAGGUCCUACCUGACUGGCAUAACCCCACCUGAGCGCUGGAGGACAAAUGGACGAUUCGCCCUCUAUGAUAACAUCACUGCUAAUCAGUUUGUGGUGCAUAUGGAGAGCCUGGAACCCGAGGACAGUGGCACUUACUGGUGUGUUGCCAAAAUGACAAACAACCUUGACUUAAUUACAGUGUUUCAACUCAACGUUAAAGAAACUACAUCUGGAAGAACUGUAAAAACUCUGACACAUCACAGUAAGUAAAUCAAUGUUUUGCCAGUCUAUGAUGGUAUUGUGGGUAUUCCACUGAUUGUUUGACUAAAUUUUCAGUUGGCAAAUUGAGAUGAAGAAUAAAAUUAUUAUUAUUAUUAUUAUUAUUAUUACUUUUAUUUACUUUUUUAUAUAUAAACAGGUGAUAUUGAUUCUUAGUGUUUUCUCAUGACAUCAUAAUUGAGUUGUAAUUUGUGUAGGACAGGUGUUCUAUUUACAGAUCAGGAAAUACAAAUGUGCCAAUGUAAAAGAAUAGGCCUCUCAGACCUACAUAAUAGACUUUUAGAUAAAUAUGCGUUAAUGAGUUUUUUUGCUUUUGCUGAGUUGCUUUUACAUUCUUGAGUAUAGUCUACCUAGUGUGCAGUGAGUUGGCCUAUAGGCAAAAGUAGCUAAAAUGAAGCACUAAUUAUUAGGGAUGCAAUGAUAUGGUUUUCCCAUGAUUGGAUACGUACCGUACAUGUAUAGACUGGUAGGGGAGCUACACUAUCAGACUUUUCCUUCUUUGAUGAUGAUUUGAUGGUUUAUUUUCCUCCUGAGUCCUUUCACUGCACACGCCUCUGUUGGUGCUGCUCUGCCCCCCCCAGCAGAGGCAGACAGUAGCUCCUGCCACACUGCCCUGCUACAGCCUGUAACACGCAGAGCUCACACAUCCUCUUUCUGGACACUCAAACUACAGUAUGUUAUAUUACAUGUGUCUCAACAGACUGUUUUCUGAGGAAAACUUAUAACUUAUGAGACAGAGUCUAAGAAAAAGAUUGCAUUUAUCACGAGUUGCGUCAGCAAUUCUAAAGUAUUUAAAAGUUAAUAUCUUUGUCAUUCCUGGAUCUAUCAACUUAAAAUAUAAAAGUGACUGAAAGAUAAAAUCCUCCCCUGUAAGAAUAUUUCAGCUGUAACUCCCUAUGGAGCUGUGAUAACUGUUUUCCUUUUGGACCAAAAUAAAUGAUAACACAGCAUGCACGGAGGGACACGUGCAUAUCAACACAUGUAUCGAAUCGUGAGACCAGUAUCGAACAAUUCAAUAUUCAAUUCAAUAUUAUGUUGAAUAUUGUUGCACCCCUACUAAUUAUAAUGUUGUGUCUUUCAGGUCCUGAUUUGGCCUCACACCCCAG